UGGGGCAUCGUCUAAUGGCAGGACAGCGGAUUCUGGUUCCGCCGGUUGGGGUUCGAAUCCCUGUGCCCCAG
rnacentral:tRNA from 1 species